CGCGUUCUCAGAAGAACCAAGUUGGCAAGGCCUGGCUCCGGGUUGGUGAGCUGUGCCCAAGCACCUUCGCGGCAACCUUGAUUUCUCCAUCCUUCUCUGAGCUUUGUGCCACGAGAGCUCUGCAGCUUCUACCUGUGACGUGAGAGCAUAUGGAAGGCCCUGCAAGAAGUCUGGUGAUAACCAUGGAAGCAUAGAAGCGUUACCCAGACAAAAUGAGCAUUUGUCACCUGGG